AACUGCAUAGCUCGAUCAGGUGCCUGCAGCCACAGAGCUGCGGGUUAAAAAGGGAAGCCGGUGUGAAUCCGGCACGGUCGCGCCACUGUAAUAUGAGGAGCUCCCCAAUCAGCCACUGUCCGCUUACGUCGGGUGGGAAGGGGGGGGAUGCUGCACCACACAGCCUCAUGAGUCAGGAGACCUGCCUGAACGGGAAAGACUAA
rnacentral:ncRNA from 2 species